rnacentral:rRNA from 1 species
AUUGAACGCUGGCGGCAUGCCUUACACAUGCAAGUCGAACGGCAGCACGGGAGCAAUCCUGGUGGCGAGUGGCGAACGGGUGAGUAAUAUAUCGGAACGUGCCCGGUCGUGGGGGAUAACGUAGCGAAAGCUACGCUAAUACCGCAUACGAUCUACGGAUGAAAGCGGGGGAUCGCAAGACCUCGCGCGAUUGGAGCGGCCGAUAUCAGAUUAGGUAGUUGGUGAGGUAAAGGCUCACCAAGCCGACGAUCUGUAGCUGGUCUGAGAGGACGACCAGCCACACUGGGACUGAGACACGGCCCAGACUCCUACGGGAGGCAGCAGUGGGGAAUUUUGGACAAUGGGCGGCAAGCCUGAUCCAGCAAUGCCGCGUGCAGGAUGAAGGCCUCGGUUGUAACGUAGUACGUUUUCGUUACGG